rnacentral:lncRNA from 1 species
UCUAACAAUUCCAAGAGCGGGACCUGUUUUCACAAUCUCUCCAAAUUGUUUUUCAUUUCCCUCCUUAAUAUUAAUUAACUAUUUUUUUUAUCUUUUAUUCAUCAAUAUCCUAGAGGAAUGACAAAUGAAAAUCAACCGAAACCCUAACACUCUACAUUCAUUUCUAUUUACUGCUGGAUCGGUUACUCUGGUAUUUAUCAUUAACUUCAUCUUCUUUCUCUUUUGAUUACUACUUGAGAAAGAUUCAUUAUAUUUUUAAUAAAUUAAUGAAGAACAUCAAAAGAGUUUGAAGCUCUGUUGUUGAAUAGCUAUUCCACUUCUUCUUCUGCAUCGUCAAUCGAGAAACCGAUGGGCAUACUAUUUUUCUAAAAUUGAAGGAGCCAAAAGUUGCGCCUCUGAACUUAAUGUCCCUUCUAAUAUUUUUGUUUUAUGUAUUCUGAUAAAUGGCAAAUGUUUAUUAGAGAUUUUUUUAAAUAAUUUUCUGCAUCGGGUGCUUUGCGAAUUAUUAUUAUUGAUUUUCUACAGAAUUUAUUUUUCUUUGAUUUUAUAGUCACGUUCUUUUGGCUGUAAAAUUCAUUCUCAUGAGAAUGAAAUUUUCUCUUGGAAUAUUGCAGAUCUGGAAAAACAAUAUUGAGAAAAUUUAUCUAAAACUAGUAAGAAAGAAUGCUUCAAAAUGAUAAUGAAUAGAAAGAACUUUGGAUAUAUAAUUUCUCUAAAUAGUCUGAAAACUUUGAUUGUUGCUAACUAAGUGUGCAGAUUAACCAUUAACCAUGUGCAAUUCCCCCAAUUACUUUAGAUGAUAUUUGUUUUAAGUUUGCAACCUGACUUUGGAAACUCGGCGUUCAAGUAUUUUUAUAAGUGUCGUUUUAUUUGUUUUGCCCCAAAAAAUUAUUUUUCCCAGAUAUUUCUAACCUUAGUUUUGAAAUCUUUCAAAAACUCAAAUAUUAGUCAUUAGUUGCAAUUCAUGUUCCAAACGGUGGGAGUAAAAUUUUAGCAAGAUGGCUGAAUUCUAUAUGUGUACUUUCAUGUAAUUCCUCUCGAUGAAGUUAGACCUAAAUUCUAGAAAGGACUUCAACAUGGAAUGUCUUCUCUCCAAGGAUUUAAGUCGGGGCAAACUUAUGCUAUAAUUGUUAAUUAUUGUUGUGACAAUAUCAGAUAAUUCAAUCCAUUGGAUCUUACAUCAUACUAACAGAAGUAGAUGCAAAGUUAUGAAGCAUGUUUAGAGGAAAAUUUAGUUCAUCUAGAUUUGUCGAGAAGAGCUAGAGUCAGAUUGUACUGAAAAACUCUGCAGUACAAACCUUAUUCCUAUUUCAAGUUGAAAUAGUUGUUUAAUUGUGGCAUAAUGACUUAUUGCCUCAUGCAUAUAAGCUUCAUCAUCCUUUUCUCCUUUUUGGUUGUAGCCUUUCAUACUCAUAUUUUUCUUUUUAAGAAUCAUUCUGUUUAAUAUAGUUUUAUUGCUUAAUCCCAUUCUUUUUUUUUACAUUCUUUUAUUUGCUUCAUGCGAGAAGAUAGUAAUGACAUUUCAAGACUAACCUUUGUUGCACUCUUGGUUGGUGUUAUAGAGUAUCAUCUAUUGUAUUUUUAUUUUUUAUCUUAGCGACAAGGUGGGUGUGGCCCCUAUUGAGGAAAAGAUGCAGGAAGCGUGGCUUAGGUGACUUGGUCAUGUGAGGAGGAGUAGCUCUCAUGAGAGUUAACGACGAAAGAUAGUAAGACAAUUAUUGUUGUGAUUGGUGAUAUACUGUUUUAUUUCCCUUCAUGCACAGAUAGAUCAGAAACUAUCACAAGAUACUAGACAAGCUAUUUGUAAUGUAGUGCAAAAGCUAAAUACUAAUCUUCUUGUACUAAAUUUUCAUGAAACCUGAAAGCUUAAAAGAUUUGUUUCCUAUCCAUGAUGUUACUGUUGCUGCAAUUGUUGGAUAAGUUUCUGCUGCUGAGAUUACUUAGUUCAUCUUCAAUGGAAUUAGUUUUAUUGUUAAUUAGUCUUCUCAUUCUCUUCAAGAUUCUUAUGUCUAUAUUAUUAAGAUGAUGUUCCAUAGAGAAAAAUUAGUUUGUAACAUCUAACUUGAUUAUCGGCACAGAGUUUGGGGAGAUUUUCUUAAGCUUACAUUGGAGGUAGGCUUAUACAUUAAAAUAUUUAACAUACUUAUCUGGUGCACUUGUCUCCUAAAGUGUUGAUUUUUAUAAUAGGUUCUCGAUGCAAAUAGCUGCCAGGAACGAGCUACAUAAACGUCAUGAAUGCCAUUUCAAAGUAAAGAUUCCUUCUUUUUUUAAUUUAAAUUUAUAUUGCUUAUCUCUGUCAUGCAACUUGCUAUCUCUAUAAUAUUCAUGGUAUAAUAAGAGAAAUAUGUAGUAGUUAACUCCUUGAUUUUAGUCAUACUGCUAGUCUAUUAGGAUAGCGAUGUUAACCAAUUUCCACAUGUUCCAGAUUAUUUGAAACUUCUAAAUUCAUUAAUAUGAUUGGAACUAUGAUGUAAUAUGUUGGUGAAUGCAAUAUGAGUUGCUUAUUUUUCCUUUUCUUUUCUUUAUCCACUUUUUUCAUAUUUUAUUUCUACCUUGUUUUUAUUCUAUUAUUCAUCUUUUUCGUCCUUCUCGAGUUCGAUCAAUAGCAUAUACAGAAUUGAGUUUGUCCAACAUUCCCCAGUGAUGUGAACAAAAUUUUGGGUAACUAAUUUUAAAUAGCUAUUUUUUCCCACGAUCAUAUAUUCGUAUAUGUAUAUUCUUCAGAGUCACUCCUUAUUGGAAUGUAUCUUCUGAUUCUAGUUAUGAAGAUUAUUGUAACACCCCGCAUAUUCAGAUUAGGUAUGAAUAAGUUAAAUGAGUAGUAAGGUUAUAUUUUGGACAUAUUAAGUCCUAUCGGGAUGAUUAUGGGUGAAAAUAGUAGUUUCAAAAUCAAGAAGGAAAGUGAGGUGCAUAAGAUUUGACAAAAUCGACCAAGUUUGCAAAAGGUUCGUAUUCCAGUAGGUUUUGGUGAAAAUGUGUAAGGAAUUUAGGAAAACGCAAAGCAUGAAAGUUGUAGGCUUUUGAAAUAGCUUUCCAACAAUAUAUUAUGGAGCUCAAACGGAUCUCUGUACAAAAGGUUAUGUGCAUUUUACAGAACAGUAUAUAAUAUGCGCGCCCGGUAGCGCGACCGCGCUAAUUUUGAAGCAGUGUUACUGCCGUUUAGCGCGGUUAGUAGCGUGGACAGGUCUCCAGGUGCGCGAGCGCGCUCGUGGGGGGUCGUUUUAAAGCUAUAUUUCGUUCCCCACAACCCCAAAACAUAAAAACUUGCUCUAGAAAGGGGAACUCUCAAAAACCUAACUCCUUGAGGGUCCUUCCACCACCCAAGGUAAGUUCUAAUGGUGAUUCUAAGUCAAUUUAAAUUUUCCAACAUCUUAUUAACAUGGGUAAAACCUCAAUAUCAUUAGAUAUACAAUUAGGACAUCAUUGUUGAGAGAAGGAAGCUUAGAACUCGAAUUUAAGAAGAUUGAACGUCAAAAAAGGUAAUGUCUUCACCCUCUAAUUGGUUCUAGCAUUGGUUUAAUGAUUAUAAACUCUAGUUCAUGAGAUAUGAGUUGAUGGUUUUGAUAGAAAAGCAUGAACGGUGAUAGGUUUGGGUUGUUGAUUGGUUAUUAUUGGUUAUGGGUGUUGAUUACGUUAUGGGUGAUAAAGAAUGAUGUUGAUUAUAACCAUUUGAGACUUUAGAAUUUAUCUAGAAGCAAGAGAAUGGGUUAUUGGGUGUAGAGACACCAUUAAUAAGGGCUAUGAAGCUUUAUGCCACCAAGUGUUUGAUAAAAUGCCUAAGUGAUCAAAACAUAAGUAUUAUUGCUAAUAUGGAAUACCUUUGACUUGUAUUUAUAUAGAUUGAAGUUGAACGGAUUGGCGAAUGUUGUAUUACGAUCAAGAACAAGAAGUUAAGGUAUGUGAGG